rnacentral:tRNA from 1 species
GUCGGGAUAGCUCAGCUGGUAGAGGCAGA